rnacentral:misc_RNA from 1 species
ACGUGCGUGCGCAUACACACUACCCCUCACCUCGCUGCUGCUGCUGUGACAGCUCUACGGACCCUGUCCAGUCGUUGCGCCCCCGCCACCCGCCUCUGUCCCCCGCAGGAGGCUGCGUACGACGUGUCGGCCACCCCGCACUGCCCGAGAAGCUGAGCUGGCGCUCACGCCCGAGCAAUCCCGCCCACGGAUCUGCUGCCGCCCCGCACUGCUCUUGACGCUGGCUGCGAAUGGCGCUGUGCGUGCGUCGGCUGGUGCUGGCGGCGACCCUCGCCGCUGUGGUGGCGCUGCUGCUGUGCACGAGCAGUGCGCCGGUGGCGCGUGCCGUUAAGGAGGAUAACCUCACUGAAACCCAAAAGUCGAACACGCUGAAGGUGCUGCAGGCGUUUGCGUGUGCGAUCCCUGAGGUUAAGAAACUGUGGACGGGCGAGGACUUCUGCUCGUGGAAGUACGUGUACUGCUACCCCUCCGCCGUCGGCGUACUGAUGGACAGCGUGGAUUAUGCCGGCACGCUGCCGGAGAUGCCUGCGGACGUCGACUACACGAACGUCGUGAUCACGCAGCUCGACUUCAGCGCAAAGGGCCAGAGGCUGAGCGGGACGCUGCCCGCCUCGUGGAGCUCGAUGACAUCGCUGGUGUCGUUGUGGCUUGAAAGGUGCGAACGUGUCACCGGCACUCUGCCCGCCUCGUGGAGCUCGAUGAAAGCGCUGAGCAGUCUCAAUCUGCAUGGCACUCAGGUCUCCGGCAGUCUGCCGCCGCAGUGGAGCUCGAUGACAUCGCUGGCCACGCUUUCUCUGCGGCUCACGAAGGUCUCCGGCAGUCUGCCGCCUCAGUGGAGCUCGAUGACAUCGCUGACCCUUCUCGAUCUGCAGGGCGCUAAGGUCUCCGGCAGUCUGCCGUCCGAGUGGAGUGGGAUGAAGAGUGCCGAGGUCCUGCAGCUGCAGGACUGCGACCUGUCCGGCAGUCUGCCCUCCUCGUGGUCUACGAUGCCGAAGCUUGCGAAAGUCUCCCUGACCGGCAACCACUUCUGCGGGUGUGUGCCUGAGUCGUGGACGUCGACAAAACGUAUUGCUGUGACCAUCGAGGACGAGCACAAGGGCAGCAAGUGCAAGCUUGAGAAUAAGUGCCGCCCGGCUGCACCCACCACGACGACCACCACUGUCCCGCCGACUGUACCCACCCCCACUGCCACCCCAACAGCCACGCCUACUCCUGCCCCAGAGACGGAGUGCGGGGUGGAUGGGUGUGAGGUGUGCGAGGGGGACUCCGCGGCGAGGUGCGCCAGGUGCCGUGAGGGCUACUUCCUGACGAGCGAGAAGACGUGCCGGGCCAACCGCGAUGGCGGCGUUGCGGCCGUGUCGAGCGGAGCGGCUGCUGCCGCUGUUGUGUGCAUGGCUGUGCUGCUGAGCGUGGGGCUGGCGGCGUGAGGAUGCUGCUGCUGUCACGCGCAGGCGGCGGCACCCGCUGCGUGGCACACGGCUGCGUGCGUGCUUGCGUGCAGCACCGCCCCCUGCACUGGCGUGCGUGUGCGUGCCUGUGUGUGCAUGGCUGCCGAUGGUGCCUUUCCUCCUGCCUCUCGCUGCCUCUGCCUCUCUCCGCGUGUGGAUGCUGUGGGCUGUGCGUGGGGCUCUCGUGCGGCGCUGCUGCUCUCGCGGUGUCGCUCCUCUGCCCUGACUCUCUCUCUCGCCCGCGUGUGUGCCUGUGGGCUGAUGGGGGCGGAGCGCGGGUGUGUGUGGAGCGGGGCAGCCGCUGGAGAGAGGGGGAGGGCGAUAGCGGAGGUGCAAGGGCCGCGGUGUUUGUGCGGCCAUGUGCGGGUGUGCGGCACACGCGGCGCUGCGUGCAUCGGCUUUGGACCGACAGCCCGCACCCCCUUCCGUCGCCUCCACUUCUCCCUCGCUCCCUCGUUGCACGUGAGAGGCGCGCACCCAUGGCUGCUGCGGCGCACACGCAAGGCAGCGUGUAUUGUGUCUCGGUGCGACCUCUGCAUGGCGGCCCCGCUCUGCGACACCUUGUUGCCCGGGCACUCCGGCGGCGUGCGCUCUGCCCCCCUCUCCUGUCACGUGUCGUGAUGCGCUGCUGCGCUGAGGAUGCGUGCACACGGCCUGCCAGCACGGCUGCUGCACGAGCCGCAGCAAUGGCGUACAGCAGGGUGUGGGCGUCGGGCGCAGUGCUGGUCUGGUGAGGCGGACCCCUCUUAUCUGUGGUGCCCCUGCUGCCUCCCCUCCCCCUCGGCACGACGUCCUCGCUGCCCUCUCACCCCCGGCUGCUACAGGAGAGACCGACGCCCACGCGCGGACGCAGACACACACCAUCGUGCACCGUUCGCGCUUUCCCCCGCUGUCGCGCCGGCACGGAUGCACGAGGAUGCGGGGGCGUGCGCACGUAUGUGCGUGUGUGCGUGCCGGCUGUUGUCUGUCGCUCUCUCUCUGCGACCAGCACUCGGCACCCGCGCCGAUGGAAUGUGUGCGCGGCGGUGGAGGCUCGCCUUGGGCCGCGGGUGCGGACGUCCGCCACUGGCUGUCUGCGGUGCGGGCUGCUGUGCUGCAGCGCCUCGAGGCCCCCCUCUCCCGCCAGGGCGAGCGAGCGAGCCUCUGCUGCCGUGUGGGCGACGCACGCAUGCACCGUCCGGGCCUCUUCAACGUGCUUCGAUAGCGGUGCUGUGUUUUGGCCGUGUGGGCGGGUGCUGCGGAGGCGCCUGGUGUGGCUGUGCUGGCACGCCUUGCCGCGCCCCUUGCGCCGCUGCCAUCGGCGGCUUCGUCGCUGACGCUGCCGCUCGCACGCGUGCUCGGGUCGUCUGUGCAGCAGCGGUGGUGUGCCGGAGUCGGCGGCACGCCGUCGAACCCUGAUUGGCGCCUCCGCCAGGUGCGACGGGGAGGCUGGGGGGAUGGGGAGGGCGUGGGCGCCCUCGUGCGCGGCAUGCGGGGAUGCGCGUGCGGCGGCGCUCUACUGCGCUGAGUAGUGAGGCUCGGUGCACGCGGCGCGAUGGCACGCAGCCUCGCUACCGGGCCACCCCGCUGUGCGUACGCAGCGGGUGAGCAGGCCCGUGCUCUCCCCUGCGCCUUGCCCCUCUCCCCCACCCUCCUCUCUCGCAUGCCGGCGAGGGAGGGGUGGCACGUGCGCGUGUGCCGCUGCGCUUGCGAGUGCGUCUGUGCGUGGGCCCUCACCACGUGCUCCGGUCACGCCUUUUCGGCUGGCCACUCGCGGCGCUGAGGGCGGUGUGCCCCUCCCCGAGCGCCGUCGCACUCUCUUCCGCGCGCCUGCGCGGGCUUCUUCGUGCGCUGUGCUCAGCCGUGCGCUCUCACCUCUUUCCCUUUUCAUUCGCUUGUCUUCUCUCUUCUCCCCCGCACUGCGGUCUCCCCUCCUCUGCCGUGCGGUGCGCAGGCGGGUGACUUGCCGUUGCGUCUCCCCCUUUCGUGGAGCGCUGAGCCGAUCCCCCUUCGGCCUCCCUCCUCCCUCCUCCCGUGGGUCCUGUCUGUUGUACAUCGUCGGACCGUCUCUGAGCAUCGCCUCUCCGCCUCGUCCGCAGAGCCGCGCUCGCCUGUGCCGCCUCUCGGACUUUAUCCUUACUGUGUAUUCUCACGGUGCGUCUCCGUGUGUGUGUGUGCCACGCACCGCUUCUUCCAUGUGUGUCCUUGCUUGCUCUCUUCUGCCCCCCCCCCCCUCUGCCUCACACAUUCCGUGCGUGUGUGCAUCACCGUUGGGCGGCGACAUCGGUGCCCGUCCCUGCCACCCUCUCCUCCCUCAUUCGCAUCUUGCCACUUCGUGGGCGGUGCGUGCAUGCAUGGAUGUAUAUACACGCACAGAGGGGUGGGGACGCGUGCAUGUGUGCGCGUACACACGCAUGUGUGUCAGUGCACCACUAUAUAUAUGUGUGUGCGUGUACGCCGACAGACAGGUGUGUGGGUGCGCAUGUACAUGUAGACAUGCGUAUCGAUGUAUAUAGCCAACCGCGUGCCGUGUGUAGGCGUGUGUGCGUGUAUAUCAGUGUGUGCCGGCACGUGUGUCGCGCCACGCUCUCUUGCCCGCCUCCCCUGUGCCUGUCACUCGCUCUGGGCGCGCUGGCGGCGGGCGCCGGGUGGUGGCCGCGCGGAAGGUGGGUGGCGGCCCUUCCCUAUUUCUGUCUUUCUCUAUUUCUCUGUUUCCUACUCGCGUGAACAAACG